GCGGGAGCAGAGCGGUUGGCGCGGGCGGCCGCUUCUUGGGGGUAGCUAUUGGGAUGGGGUUAGCAGUUUUGGCCGCUGCCUGAGGGAGUGGACCCACGUUGUCAGUUGUCACAGUCGUGAAAAUUUGUUUUGUAAUAUUAUUUUGUUGGAGCAAUAAGCUGAUCAUUCCAUUCCAUUUGUUCAUGCAGAAUUAAUAGGACUUGGGUUUUAUACAAUCCAGUUUUGUCGACAAUUCGAGCUGAACAUUUUUUUAAGUUCACUAUUUUGUUAAUAGGUAUUAUUAUAUCAGGUACAAUAACAGGCUAUAAGCCAGCUAUAAACAUAUUUUAAGAAGAUAAGAGAGAAGAGCAGUAAGU
rnacentral:lncRNA from 1 species